rnacentral:misc_RNA from 1 species
GAUGAAGAACGUAGCGAAAUGCGAUAAGUAAUGUGAAUUGCAGAAUUCAGUGAAUCAUCGAAUCUUUGAACGCACAUUGCGCCCGCCAGUAUUCUGGCGGGCAUGCCUGUCUGAGCGUCAUUUCAACCCUCAAGCCCCUAGGGCGUGGUGUUGGGGAUCGGCCAAAGCCCGCGAGGGACGGCCGGCCCCUAAAUCUAGUGGCGGACCCGUCGUGGCCUCCUCUGCGAAGUAGUGAUAUUCCGCAUCGGAGAGCGAUGAGCCCCUGCCGUUAAACCCCCAACUUUCCAAGGUUGACCUCAGAUCAGGUAGGAAUACCCGCUGAACUUAAGCAUAUCAAUAAGCGGAGGA